GACGAACGCUGGCGGCGUGCUUAACACAUGCAAGUCGAACGGAAAGGCCCUGCUUGCAGGGUACUCGAGUGGCGAACGGGUGAGUAACACGUGGGUGAUCUGCCCUGCACUUCGGGAUAAGCCUGGGAAACUGGGUCUAAUACCGGAUAGGAGCCAUUUUUAGUGUGAUGGUUGGAAAGUUUUUUCGGUGUAGGAUGAGCUCGCGGCCUAUCAGCUUGUUGGUGGGGUAAUGGCCUACCAAGGCGGCGACGGGUAGCCGGCCUGAGAGGGUGGACGGCCACAUUGGGACUGAGAUACGGCCCAGACUCCUUCGGGAGGCAGCAGGGGGGAAUAUUGCACAAGGGGCGCAAGCCUGAUGCAGCGACGCCGCGUGGGGGAUGACGGCCUUCGGGUUGUAAACUCCUUUCGCUAGGGACGAAGCUUUUUGUGACGGUACCUAGAUAAGAAGCACCGGCUAACUACGUG
rnacentral:rRNA from 1 species